rnacentral:lncRNA from 1 species
UUUAUUGCUCACACAAAGCCUGUUUGGUGGUCUCUUCACAUGGACGCACAUGAAAGUUACAAGUGUACUGCUCUAGUUGGGGCUGGGUUGAUAAUGGAGGAGGCUAUGCAUCUGUCGGGGCAGGAGACACAUGGAAAAUCUCUAUACCUUCUGCUCAAUUUUGCUGUGAACCUCAAACUGCUCUAAAAAAUGAAGUCUUAGCUGGGGGCAGUGCCUCACACCUGUAAUCCCAGCAUUUUGGGAGGCCAAGGAGGGCGGAUUAUAAGGUCAGGAGUUCAAGACCAGCCUGGCCAACAUGGUGAAACCCCGUCUCUACUAAAAACACAAAAAGUAGCCAGGCAUGGUGGCACAUGCCUGUAAUCCUAGCUACUUAGGAGACCGAGACAGGAGAAUUGCUUGAACCCGGGAGGCGGAGGUUGCAGUGAGCUAAGAUCACGCCACUGCACUACAGCCUGGGUGACAGAGCGAGACUCCAUCUCAGGAAAAAAAAAAAUGAAGUCUUUUUUAAAAAAAGUUAAAAGAUUCAGCCCUGUAGCAGGUCCCAUUCAAGGACUAAGUAAUAGGCUGCAGAAGAAAGGGUGGAAGGCUGCGGAAUUGAUCUGGCUGAAUACCCUGAAGGCACUAAUGAGAGAGGAGGCUGGGUGUCCAUCCUUCUUCCAUUAACUGCUUUGGGAAUACCAGAAGAGCCCCAUAAUGAUUUUACUAACGUCAGAGUUCCUCCUUGGAGAGAUGGAAUUAUUGCACAUCAUAUCUAAAGGUGGACCACAAACCUUGAAAUCAAUUAGACAAGGUCCAGGAAAUUAUUUUCUUUUGCUUCAUAUAAGUUUACUUGACCUCAUCUUCCCCAAUGGGCAAUAGUUGGUGUACGUGCCUGUACAUGUGUGCGUGUGUGUGUGUGUAUUUGUGCAUGUGUGUGUUUUGUAGGCUGUUCCAUGGAUGUUUUUAAUAUGGGCUCUGGAGGUUUGCUGCAAAGCUAAAUUGGGUGAAGAAUGAAGACUCAUUGGUAAAUAUUUCUUUAUGUGCCUAUUUCCUUGAGUAGACUGUGACCUACUCAUUUCUGUAUCCCCUGACCUAGCUAAGCUAGCACAGAGCCCGCUCUCUACUAAGGGCAGAGGGAAUGCUGGUUGAAUGGGGUUAGAAUGAUACUAAAGAAUGGGGUUUACCAGAUGUGCCUAGAGGAAACCAAACCCUCGAUGCAACCAUGUUGACAAGAGCACACAUUUUAGAUUCAGACACACUCAGGUUCAAAUCCUGCUUCAUACAAGGAAACCAGGUGGUGCUAGGUCUGUGAUUGUCUCUGCGUCUCAGUGAUAGGGUAGGUACCUCUGCUGAGCUACAUCAGAAUGCUGAGCAUUGUGGUGUGACCAUGAACCAGAAUAUAAACGUGCUUUGGGAAUAAAGUUACAUUUAAAUGCAUUAUAUAAUUGUAAACAUUUUAGAGAUAAGUGUAAGAAUUAUGUGCAGUUUUUAAAUAAUGGAAGCAAUUUGUUUCAAAAUAAUAAAUGUCUUAAGGUAAUUUUUAACCAAAAGUCAUAGCUGUUUAAGUCCAAAAGCCUCACAAUUACUUGAAAGUAAUGAUUAUUAAAACAUCACAGGGCACUAGAAAACCCCAAGACCAGGAUUGAGCAUUCCUUUCACUCAGCCACAGGAGAGGACCCAGGAGCCAAAAGAAGCCAGGAAGCCCCAUCUCCUCUCUCUGCCAUCGGCAGCAGCACUGCUACCCAGGCAAAUCCUUUUUCUCCUGUUCCCCAAGUGAGGGCUCCUGACAGAAAGCCAGAGCUGAAGUUUAAAACAAUGGCAUGGAAUGGAAUCCUACACCUCUAAUUGGACAAAACCAGAGGAAAGUAUCAGAACGGGGCAAGAGGACAUCCACAGAGCAAGGAGGCACAGAGAGGUGGUAGCAGGUUUCAGGAAUCAAUGAAGCAUGGUGAAAGGACCAAGAACUAGCCUGAGGCUGGAGCUGUGCAAGAGGCAAGGUGGGGAUUGGAGGAAUGAACACACCAACCUUUCUCUCCUCCCACCUUCUGAUCUCCUCUGUAUGUCUCCAUUGCCAAAUCAGCCAGAAGCAGAGGGCAAGUGAGCCCACAUGAAGCAGUCCAUGGGUUCAGUUUUGGGGGGGCAUAGAGCUUGGAUCUGAUGGAGGAGAAAAACCAAGAUAACUAGCACAGCUAUUCUUAGCAGUGAAGUUGGCAUUAGUAUUAAUAUUAGUAUUAACCAUUGCAAAUUAAUAUUAUUGCUAUUACCAUUGUGUAUCUCUAGUAACAGGACCUGUUUCUUUUAUUAUAGAUCUGAGUUUUCGGCUUUGUGUAUAUUUUAUUUAACGGGGCCUGACUUUCUGUUUGGAACCAUAGGAACCCAGCAUCGACCUAGCAGAUGGCAGCUACUCUAAUUCUUAUGCUGGUAAUACAAGAAACCUGGGUCCCUGGAUGACAGCGUGAAGUAGAUCCACCCUGCCAACCAGGUUCUUUUUUUAAACUUGUCACAAGAAUGUAAGUUUCCUUUUUCUGUAAAUACCACUGCAUUGUUGCAACUGCCUUUGGACUGACACAUACUGGACCUGAGAGAUCAGCUUCCUGUCCACCAGAGGCUUGGAAGGCUUCCAUAAGGAGUCCAUGGAAGCUCUGCACCCCACCUCUACCCCCAAGGCCUUGCCCUGUGUAUCUCUUUCUCUUGCUAUUCAUCUGUAUCCUUUAUAAUAAAAUGGUAACAGUAAGUAUAGUGCUUACUUGAGUUUCCUAAGCCAUUCUAUUGAAUUCUUGAGCCAGAGGGAGUUGUGGGAACCCCUAAAUUUGUUGCCAAGUCAGACUGAAGUGAGGGUAGCCUGGGGACCCUGUUUGUAGCUGGUAUGUGAGUAAGGGCAGUAUUAUUAGGGACCUUGCCCUUUACCUUGUGGGUUCUGAUGUUAAAUAGGGAUAGUUAGUGUCAAAAUGUAUUGAAUUGAAUUGUAGGACACCCAGUUGGUGUCAGAGAAUUGCUGUUGGAAUGCAAUCACCAAAUAGAAUCACCUUGUGGCUAAAACAAAGGUUGCAAGAAUGCAGAGGGCUUGGAUUAAAUUACUUACACUGGUAUUGUCCAUGUGGCUCUCACAAAGAUUUAGUUUUCUUAUUGUAAAAGAAAAAUACCUAUAUUCAGGUCUAAUAUGCAAUUUAAAUACACAGGAAAAAAACACCUUAUAAACUGAGCAACACAAAGUAAAUAUUAGCGACUAUUAUGGGCCAGAUGCUAAUAUAAAAACAAAAAUCUUAUUUAUAACCCAACAAGAGCACUGUGGCCAGAUUUUUACCCAUUUUCAAGUCAAGUGAGAGAAAUAAUGAAUGUAGAUUCCCAAAGCUAAAGAUAUAAAUUUGGUCCUACGUAUCUUCUGUGUGCAUGUCUGGGAUUUUUUUCAACCAAUUUUUUUCCAUUCAGUUCCAGGCAGAAACUUGACAAUUUCUUCUCAUGAAUCAUCUUUCUAUGGCACUAUUCCACACCCGGCAGAAAAAUUAUGUGAGGCCACGGUCUUUGCUGGCUGGCACUCAAAGAAAACAUGCAAAACUGAACUCCAUGUGGUCUUUGAGCCAUCCCUCAGAUCCUGAAUUCCCUCAGCCCUUGAACCUGAGUUGGGUUAGUGGGAAUCCCAGCUGGGUGCCAGGGAGAAGGCUGCUCUCAGGACCCAGCAGAAAGGGAUGGGACGGAGCAAUGUGAGUAAAUGAGGGACAUCUGCUCCCGAGAUUUUGUGGCACCCACUCAUCAGAGGUAAAAUGAGCCUGUAACAUUUUUAACAAUUCAAGCCUCUGGUGGACAGGAAGCUGAUCUCUCAGGUCCAGUAUGUGUCAGUCCAAAGGCAGUUGAAGA